AGGCCUGCCCCCGAGAGGGAGGGGUGGCCUCUCUUCCACCACUAUGUUCAGCACAGUGCCAAGAACACAGCCUCCUCCUCCUGCUCCUUAGUCUCACCUGCAGGUCUGUCUCUCCUUGCGUUUCCUCUGCCCCCUCUUAAGUGACCCCUGCAGUGUUGGCCUCCAGCCCCAUUGCAUCCUGUCCCCAGGUAUGACAUGGAGAGCACAGACAACGGGGCUUCCAACUCAGAGAAAAACAAGCCCCUGGAGCAGUCUGUGGAAGACCUCAGCAAGGGUCCGCCCUCCUCUGUGCCCAAAAGCCGCCACCUGACCAUCAAGCUGACCCCAGCCCACAGCAGGAAGACCCUGCGGAAUUCCCGCAUCGUCAGCCAGAAGGACGACGUCCACGUCUGUAUUAUGUGCCUACGAGCCAUCAUGAACUACCAGUCUGGCUUCAGCCUUGUCAUGAACCACCCAGCCUGUGUCAAUGAGAUUGCUCUGAGCCUCAACAACAAGAACCCCAGAACCAAGGCUUUGGUGCUGGAGCUGCUGGCGGCUGUGUGCUUGGUGCGGGGAGGACAUGACAUCAUCCUUGCAGCCUUUGACAACUUCAAGGAGGUGUGUGGAGAGCAGCACCGCUUUGAAAAGCUGAUGGAAUAUUUCCGGAAUGAAGACAGCAACAUCGACUUCAUGGUAGCCUGCAUGCAGUUCAUCAACAUUGUGGUACAUUCGGUGGAGAACAUGAACUUCCGUGUCUUCCUGCAAUAUGAGUUCACCCACUUGGGCCUGGACCUGUACUUGGAGAGACUUCGGCUCACCGAGAGUGACAAGCUGCAGGUGCAGAUCCAGGCGUACCUGGACAAUGUUUUUGAUGUGGGGGCGCUGCUGGAGGACACAGAGACCAAGAACGCUGUGCUGGAGCACAUGGAGGAACUGCAGGAGCAGGUGGCGCUGGUGAGAGUGGGUCCUGACCCCAGCCUGGCACAUCAUAGGCCCACAGGGCACACGGGCCACAGGGCCACGCAGGCAUGGGCACUGGGCACUGGGAGGCAGACAGUGUUAUAGCUGUGCAUUGGAGGUGCUGCCUGCCUGGCCCCAGAGCCUGGCCUGAAUCCAAAGCCUGAAUCUGUUGGGUGACUUUCUCAAUGAGUGUGGGUGAGCGCCCUCACUGACAGGCCCCUCCUCUACCCAGGCUCAGACCCCAGGUGAACUGAAAUGGGUGCCUGGGGCCCCUCCCAGCUCAGACUCCUCCUCUCCCUCCACCUCCCGCAUCACUGGUACCUUGGUUUCCUCUCCUUAUUUGCUUGGGUUCGAGUGCCAGGCUCGGCCCACCCUUGGCACCUGGGCUGAGCGGAUCUGGGAGCCUCCCCCAGUCUUCCAGGCAGGCAUGCCUGAUGCCGCCCCCUCACCGGCGGUGCCAGUGCCGGGCUGCGGGUCGGGGCUCACCAUGUGCUGGUGCUACAGCUGACAGAGCGGCUUCGAGACGCAGAGAACGAAUCCAUGGCCAAGAUUGCAGAACUGGAAAAACAGCUAAGCCAGGCGCGCAAGGAGUUGGAGACCCUGCGGGUGAGGCUGGGGCGGGUGGUGGGCCAGGCGCCCAAGAACAGGCCAGCUGAGGCUUCUAGGCUUGACAUCUCCCUCCACCCCGGGAAAAGGAUGGGGGCUUGGUGCCAAGCAGUCUGCUGGUGGGCACUGACCCCUCCCGUGGGGUUCGCAGGAGCGCUUCAGCGAAUCGACCGCCAUGGGCGCCUCCAGGCGUCCCCCAGAGCCUGAGAAAGCGCCUCCCGCUGCUCCGACGCGGCCCUCGGCCCUGGAGCUGAAGGUGGAGGAGCUGGAGGAGAAGGGGUUAAUCCGUAUCCUGCGGGGGCCGGGGGAUGCUGUCUCUAUCGAGAUCCUUCCCGUCGCUGUGGCAACUCCGAGCGGCGGUGAUGCUCCGACUCCGGGGGUGCCGACCGGCUCCCCCAGCCCAGGUGCGCAGGAGCUUCAGGCUGGCGGGGAUGCGGGGCAGGGUCUGGAGGGGAGCCCAGGGGCAUCUGUGGCGGGCAGAGUUGGGCGAGGGAGGUUUGGAUUGUAGGCUCGGCUCAGGUAGGAGCGCAUGCGUAGAGCGGGGAGGCGGAGAGGGGCCCACCCAAGCCAAGGAGCUGACUCGCGCCUCCCCCACACCGCGCCCUCGCUGGCUCAGAUCUCGCACCUGCAGCAGGGCCGGCUCCCGGAGCAGCGCCGCCGCCACCGCCCCCACUGCCCGGCCUCCCCUCCCCGCAGGAAGCCCCGCCCUCGGCGCCCCCACAGGCCCCGCCUCUCCCUGGCAGCCCGGAGCCCCCGCCGGCGCCGCCGCUGCCCGGAGACCUGCCGCCCCCACCCCCGCCACCGCCACCACCUCCGGGCACUGACGGGCCGGUGCCUCCGCCGCCGCCGCCGCCGCCGCCUCCCGGAGGUCCUCCUGAUGCCCUAGGAAGACGCGACUCAGAAUUGGGCCCAGGAGUGAAGGCCAAGAAGCCCAUCCAGACCAAGUUCCGAAUGCCACUCUUGAACUGGGUGGCACUGAAACCCAGCCAGAUCACCGGCACUGUCUUCACAGAGCUCAAUGAUGAGAAGGUGCUGCAGGAGCUGGACAUGAGUGACUUUGAGGAACAGUUCAAGACCAAGUCCCAAGGCCCCAGCCUGGACCUCAGCGCUCUCAAGAGUAAGGCAGCCCAGAAGGCCCCCAGCAAGGCGACACUCAUUGAGGCCAACCGGGCCAAGAACUUGGCCAUCACCCUGCGGAAGGGCAACCUGGGGGCCGAGCGCAUCUGCCAAGCCAUUGAGGCAUACGACCUGCAGGCUCUGGGCCUGGACUUCCUGGAGCUGCUGAUGCGCUUCCUGCCCACAGAGUAUGAGCGCAGCCUCAUCACCCGCUUUGAGCGGGAGCAGCGGCCGAUGGAGGAGCUGUCAGAGGAGGACCGCUUCAUGCUGUGCUUCAGCCGCAUCCCGCGCCUGCCGGAGCGCAUGACUACACUCACCUUCCUGGGCAACUUCCCGGACACAGCCCAGCUGCUCAUGCCGGUGUGGGCGGAGCGGGCAGGGCGGUGUGACUUGGGAGGGGAUGGGCAGGAGGCAACUCCCAGCCUGGGCUGCAGCAGGGAACCUGGGAGUACUUGAGCCUCCAGAUGGAGGAGGCUCCAACUUAUCUUACCUCCCCCAUCCCACCCCCAGCAACUGAAUGCCAUCAUUGCAGCCUCAAUGUCCAUCAAGUCCUCUGACAAACUCCGCCAGAUCCUGGAGAUCGUCCUGGCCUUUGGCAACUAUAUGAACAGUAGCAAGCGUGGGGCAGCCUACGGCUUCCGGCUCCAGAGCCUGGAUGCGCUGUUGGAGAUGAAGUCGACUGACCGCAAGCAGACGCUGCUGCACUACCUGGUGAAGGUCAUUGCUGAGAAGUACCCGCAACUCACAGGCUUCCACAGCGACCUGCACUUCCUGGACAAGGCGGGCUCAGUGUCCCUGGACAGUGUCCUGGCGGACGUGCGCUCCCUGCAGCGAGGCCUAGAGUUGACGCAGAGGGAGUUUGUGCGGCAGGAUGACUGCAUGGUGCUCAAGGAGUUCCUGAGGGCCAACUCGCCCACCAUGGACAAGCUGCUGGCAGACAGCAAGACAGCUCAGGAGGCCUUUGAGUCCGUGGUGGAGUACUUCGGAGAGAACCCCAAGACCACAUCCCCAGGCCUGUUCUUCUCCCUCUUUAGCCGCUUCAUUAAGGCCUACAAGAAAGCUGAGCAGGAGGUGGAACAGUGGAAAAAAGAAGCCGCUGCCCAGGAGGCAGGCGCUGAUAGCCCGGGCAAAGGGGAGCCCCCAGCACCCAAGUCACCGCCAAAGGCCCGCCGGCCACAGAUGGACCUCAUCUCUGAGCUGAAACGGAGGCAGCAGAAGGAACCACUCAUUUAUGAGAGCGACCGUGAUGGGGCCAUUGAAGACAUCAUCACAGGUAAGGGCUUGGCCAGGCCUUCCUCUUAUCCUCAGUCUGUCCUUCUAUGCUUUCUUCUGACCCAAUCCCCUACCCUCUGGGGGACUGGUUACCACACUGCUUCUUGCUACCUUUUCUGUUUUUCUUUCCUUUUUCCUUUCUCUACUCCCUUUCACCCGCCCCACCCCCACUCAGUGAUCAAGACGGUGCCCUUCACGGCCCGCACCGGCAAGCGGACAUCCCGGCUCCUCUGUGAGGCCAGCCUGGGAGAAGAGGUGCCCCUCUAGCCCCUCAGGUACCCAGAUGACCUGGCCUCUGAUACCACGCUGCCCACAGCCUCUGGGACCCUUGGGGGAACUGAGGCAUGCUGCCUUCUCCUGGGCCAGUGGAUGGCUGGGAUGUGAUUUGUGGGGUGGGGGGGUCUGGCAAACAUAAACGGUACCCCUGCCAUGUGCACACAAUCUGAGUCCUUAGGAGGCUAAGCUUUGUGCCCUGGAGCCAUGCUCCCAGCUCUGGGCGGACUCCUGAAUGGUAAAUGUGUCUCCUUCGGCUGCCAGAUCUGCGGAACCAGCCCUACAUCCGCGCAGACACAGGCCGCCGCAGUGCCCGCCGGCGUCCCCCGGGCCCCCCACUGCAGGUCACCUCCGACCUCUCGCUGUAGCUGCUAUUUCUGCAGGUGGAUUCUGCAGGGGUGUGGGGCCGUGGACAGGCUGAGGCUCAAGGAAGGUGGUCCUCAGCUCGGCUGGCCGGGCAGCCCCUCCUCCGCUGUGGCCCGCCUCAAACGGGCUGGUGCAUCCUCCUUUUGGCCACAGAGGGCAGCGUCGCCCGCCCCUUCCCCCAAAUGCUGCUUGCAGCACCCACCCUAAAGCCCCCUCCAAAUAGCCAUACUUAGCCUCAGCAGGAGCCUGGCCUGUAACUUAUAAAGCGCACCUCGCCCUCGCAAGCCCCAGCCCCGAGGACCGUCCAUGGACCUUAUUUUUAUACGAGAUUAAUAAAGAUGUUUGCAAAAG
rnacentral:sRNA from 1 species